GAUGAACGCUGGCGGCGUGCCUAAUACAUGCAAGUCGAGCGAACAGAUAAGGAGCUUGCUCCUUUGACGUUAGCGGCGGACGGGUGAGUAACACGUGGGUAACCUAUCUAUAAGACUGGAAUAACUCCGGGAAACCGGGGCUAAUGCCGGAUAACAUGCUGAACCGCAUGGUUCUACAGUGAAAGGCGGCUUUGCUGUCACUUAUAGAUGGACCCGCGCCGUAUUAGCUAGUUGGUGAGGUAACGGCUCACCAAGGCAACGAUACGUAGCCGACCUGAGAGGGUGAUCGGCCACACUGGAACUGAGACACGGUCCAGACUCCUACGGGAGGCAGCAGUAGGGAAUCUUCCGCAAUGGGCGAAAGCCUGACGGAGCAACGCCGCGUGAGUGAUGAAGGUCUUCGGAUCGUAAAACUCUGUUAUUAGGGAAGAACAAAUGCGUAAGUAACUGUGCGCGUCUUGACGGUACCUAAUCAGAAAGCCACGGCUAACUACGUG
rnacentral:rRNA from 1 species